ACUCUUUUAUUAUAAAUAUUAUAUUUGAUUUCCAAUCAAAAGAUCUUAAAAAAGAAAGAGUA
rnacentral:tRNA from 1 species